CUCUAGAGCUUGCUGCAGCAGAAACCCUCAGGGAAGAUGGCCGAAUGAAAAUUCAGAUGCAUGGGGGAUCUUCAGACCUCCACAGGGCUGCAUGACCACACAGGGACAACCCAGGACCAGCAGGAGCUGUAGGGAGCACAGAGGCUGACUUAGCAGAAAGAAGAACUUUCAUACUGACUCCCCUGAUGGGAGAGGAUUGCCCCAUCACAGCAAGUGGGCACAGACCUGAUGACUGUCUGGCAGGAAUUUUACAGAGCAGAUUCAUGCCAGGACUGGACUGUUGACUCCAAAGUCCCUACCAGCCCUGGAACAUGAAGUGACACCAGCUAGAGAUGCCUGGGUUUACCUGAGAGCAAGGUGGUCAGUGCACUGUUUUGGUUCAGGACGUAGGUCCUCCGGGUUGACCUGCCCCCUCCCCAAGAGCUGGAGAGCCCUGAGAAGUACAGAAUGGAUUCUGUACUGUGGGAAUGUGCCAGGAAGCAAUCAGAGACUCCCAACAUGAAUUGUCAUUUGUGGAGGGAGUGGCUGUUACCUGACUCUGUCUUCAUGCACCAGUGUAGCACAAACAGCAGCUUUAUUGGUGAUGCUUGGGAAGCUGUGGCAGAGCCCAGCAUGCAGGCUGUGAGGGCUCAGACAGCUUCCAGCAGACAGGGGAUGAGGGGAUUAGCCUCAGUGGGCUCUGCUGCUUGGGGCACAUUGUCCCUUCUCAGUUCUUUGAGGCAAGUGUGCAGGAACAGGGUUCAGCACUUCACAAACUGGUGGGUGACCUCGUAGAUUCCCACAGAUUCCUGAGCUUUUUCGUCAUAGUCAGUCCAGUCCUGUGGGGGAAAAUGGCCGUUAUUAGCCUCACGAGAUGGGACAGUGUGCACAAUGGUCACGAACUGGGACUUCAAACAUGUAUGACCCAGAACAGAGCCAGACUCCGUUUUGGACAAGUCACUUAACUUCUCUGAGUCUCAGUUCUAUUAAAAAAAAGGGGGGGGGGGGAACAGUAGCAGACCUCCAUCUUGAAAGAAUCAAAUGAGGUAACACAUGUAAAAGUAUUCAGCAUAGUACUGGGCGCAUAUAAGAGCUCACUAAAUUUCAGUUACUGUUGUUAUUAGGUGCUAUGCAAACUGAAGUUUCUGUUCUUUUGAAGCCUGACCACAAGGCCUAUGUAAGACAGUAAUGUGGCCAGUAAUACAGUUGAUUCUUGUUAUUCAUGGUAGUUACAAUCUACAUAAUAACUACAAACACUGAAUUAGCAAACAGUGAACCACUAUUCCCAGGGAAAAUAUAAGGUUAGGUUCUCAGAAGCAUCUGAUCACAUUUUCUUCAAUCAAUAUAUAACCUUGUUUUGGGUAGGUUUUUGUUAAAAAAAAAAAAAAAAAA